GUAGGAUGAGGCUGAAGAGUGUAGGCUGAGUGCAGGAGAUGUAGGUGUCCAGCAUACUGAGUUUCUCAUGGAGAUCCAGAAAGGAACCACACACUGAAGACCUCCAGAAAAGUCAGGCAUCAUUAGAUGGCAACAUCUAGAUGCUCUAUAAUUCACUUGGAUUCAUGCCUCACGCAUUGGAUCCAGCUAAUCUUGGAAUGGAUUUGGCUUACACAUUUGAAAAGGUUGCACAUGUCAUGAUGGGAACAGAAGGCCAUGUUCAUCUCCACAUUAUUACUCCUUUGGAAAAAGAUUUUAAAAAAUAGACUGAAGAAUUAAAGGAUUUCUUUGGAGAAAUAGAGUCUGUGUUGCUCUGAACUAGAAUACCUGCUUAAUACCCUUGAGGUUCUCUGCAUUUUGCAUCUCUGUAACAGCCCCUGCCUGCUUCAAAAAGAUUCUAUAAGAAGAUGUGACAACUGCUCACCUCUCUAGGUACAAGGAUAAGCAUUUAGAAGGGGGACUAAACCACCAACCAAAGAGUACACAUGGAGGGACCCAUGCAUCCAUCUGUAGCAGAGGAUGGCCUUGUCGGGCAUUAAUGGGAGGAGAGGCCCUUGGUCCUGUGAAGGCUUGGUGCCCAGUGUAGAGGAAUGCCAGAGCUGGGAGGUGGAUGAAAAAUAAGUCCUGCAAUGAGAAAGAUUCUGGAGAGUAUGUCUUUAAAUAACAUAGAGCAUCCUUACAGCAUAAAAAAAGAGGCUUUCCCAAUAUUACCUUUGAAGUCUGGUCAAUAUAUGUUCUGUUUCAAAGGGUUGUCCAAAGUGAAGAAGUCAGAGCAAGAACUCAGAGCAGAGAACAUGAAAAAGGGCUGUUUACUGUACUGCUCCACUGGAUUAUAAAUCUGAAUUUUUUAAAGUUUAUUUUAUGUACAUGAGAACUGUUGCUCCCUUCAGUCCCACCAGAAGAGGGCAUCAGAUUCUACUACAGACGGUUGUUGGGAAUUAAACUCAGGACCUCUGGAAGGACACUCAGUGCUCUUAACCACUGAGCCAUCUCUUCAGCCCCUAUAUCCAGAUUUCUCUACAACUCAGAACCACCUGCCCAAUAGUGGCAAUUCCCACAGUGCUCUGGGCCCUCUCAGUUCAAUGAAAAAUGAAGGCAAUUCCUAUCAGACAUGGUCUGAGGUCAAUGUGAUCUGGGCAGUUCUGCAGUUGAGACUCCCUCAGGUACUCUGGGCUGUGACCACUUCACACUGAUGAUGACUAGGACACUAAGACAGAAAUUGUUACAAUAAAUCAAUCUCAUUUUCCAAUGAUAAAUGCAUGUUUAUUUGUGUAGCAGAAAAUUCGUGUUCUAGGAUUCAACAAACCCUAGGACACCAUUUUUUUUUUUUUUUUUUUUUUUUUGCAUCCUGCUGUUGUAAAAGCACUUACCUUACAAAAAGCUUUCAAGAAAAACCAAGAUAAUCCAAGUAUCUGUAAUAAAAAAAAGUCAAAAGCGAAACAAUUCCCCUAGUUAUGCAUUUCGCCAACUUUAUCACCAAAUAGUUAGUUGAUAUGCAAGAUUUCCUAAGCCUGAUCCCUUUGAAUGUGUGUGAAAACUUCACCUGACAAGAUCAAGACCUGAACAUGCUCUCAACAUGACCUCUGGGGGAGUCUCUCUUAACAGACUGGAGUAAGACUGGAGCAAGGAACUUUUGCAGACAUUAGAAGGCUGAUGGAGAAGACUAUUGGCAAGAACUACCAGGCCCUCCUAAGAUGUUGACUCUUUGCUGGCAGGACCAGGCUGUUUAACAGGAUGCAGUUCUCAGCUACGUUUCCAGCACCAUGCCUACCAACAUGCUCCCUGGCAUGAUGAUAAUGGACAGAACCUCUGAAACUGUAAG
rnacentral:lncRNA from 1 species